UACGUAGGACCCAAGCGUUGUCCGGAUUUACUGGGUGUAAAGGGCGCGUAGGCGGGUUAGCAAGUCAGAGGUGAAAUACUACAGCUUAACUGUAGAACUGCCUUUGAAACUGCUAAUCUUGAGUGCGGAAGAGAGAGACGGAAUUCCAGGUGUAGCGGUGAAAUGCGUAGAUAUCUGGAGGAACACCAGUAGCGAAGGCGGUCUCUUGGUCCGUUACUGACGCUCAGGCGCGAAAGCGUGGGGAGCAAACAGG
rnacentral:rRNA from 1 species